rnacentral:rRNA from 1 species
GUCAAUGAGUCAAUAUCACCCUGCAGCCCAAGACCAAUUACUCACUGAAACUAAGCAGGGCUGAGCUUGGUCAGUACCUGGACAAGACACCACAUGGGAAAACUAGGUUGCUGUUGGAA